AAGGUUGGCUAAUCCUGGUCGGACAUCAGGAGGUUAGUGCAAUGGCAUAAGCCAGCUUGACUGCGAGCGUGACGGCGCGAGCAGGUGCGAAAGCAGGUCAUAGUGAUCCGGUGGUUCUGAAUGGAAGGGCCAUCGCUCAACGGAUAAAAGGUACUCCGGGGAUAACAGGCUGAUACCGCCCAAGAGUUCAUAUCGACGGCGGUGUUUGGCACCUCGAUGUCGGCUCAUCACAUCCUGGGGCUGAAGUAGGUCCCAAGGGUAUGGCUGUUCGCCAUUUAAAGUGGUACGCGAGCUGGGUUUAGAACGUCGUGAGACAGUUCGGUCCCUAUCUGCCGUGGGCGCUGGAGAACUGAGGGGGGCUGCUCCCAGUACGAGAGGACCGGAGUGGACGCAUCACUGGUGUUCGGGUUGUCAUGCCAAUGGCACUGCCCGGUAGCUAAAUGCGGAAGAGAUAAGUGCUGAAAGCAUCUAAGCACGAAACUUGCCCC
rnacentral:rRNA from 1 species